rnacentral:rRNA from 1 species
UCGGAAUUGCUAGUAAUCGCAGAUCAGCAUGCUGCGGUGAAUACGUUCCCGGGCCUUGUACACACCGCCCGUCACACCAUGGGAGUCGGUAACACCCGAAGCCUGUAGUCUAACCGCAAGGAGGACGCAGUCGAAGGUGGGAUUGAUGACUGGGGUGAAGUCGUAACAAGGUAGC